CAGUCGCCGCGGUAAUACGUAGGUGGCAAGCGUUGUCCGGAAUUAUUGGGCGUAAAGGGCUCGCAGGCGGUUUCUUAAGUCCGAUGUGAAAGCCCCCGGCUCAACCGGGGAGGGUCAUUGGAAACUGGGAAACUUGAGUGCAGAAGAGGAGAGUGGAAUUCCACGUGUAGCGGUGAAAUGCGUUGAGAUCGGAAAGAACACCAACGGCGAAAGCACUCUGCUGGGCCGACACUGACACUGAGAGACGAAAGCUAGGGGAGCAAAUGGGAUUAGAUACCCGUGUAGUCCCUGUCUCUUAUAA
rnacentral:rRNA from 1 species